UCUGUUCCUUCUGCUUGUUUCACUUGCAGGUGUUUCCCAGUCCAGCAUGCUGAACCUCCAGCUCUGACCAUGGCAUGUUCUUUGUUCCAGCUCUGGCUCUGAGAUGUUCCAGUUGAUGGCUGCUCCAGUUCCUUCCAGGUCCCUGAGGUGGGUUCCUAUCUCUGCAGUCACCGAUGCUACCAAUUUUCCUGGAGUCUGCCGUUUGAUGUUGAAGAGCAGCAGCUGGAAGAUGUGUUGAAACAUCCUGUUCGGUGUAGUGUUUCAAGCAGGGCUUGCAGUCAGCAUGUCAGCUGAGGAGUGUGUGACAGUGGGAGCGCGUGAGUGUCCGUGUGUGUCUGGGAGAGUUUGUGUCUGUCUGCUGCUGCUCGUGUCUGCCUGUGCGAGUGUGUGUGCUGACUGCUUCUAGCCUUGUGAGUAGGAUUUUUGCCUUUCAGGUGUCCUAACUCAUUUUUAAAAUGAGAAUAAAAAGUCCCCAGCCAAUGGGUUGGGUUUUUUGCCCUCAGCUGGUUUGUUUUUCCUCGGACCCAGCUGAUGAGGUGCCGUUCACCACCAAAGUUUGUUGGUGGACAGUCCCAGUACCGGGGUUUUUGUCAGGCAUUGUGGAACCCAAAGAAGAGAUUUUGCCCACCACCCCCGUUUCAGAGCAGCAAGGUGGCAAAGCAGAGCAGCCAGCCAUGCCUCAGCCAGUGCCCACUGCCUGAGGGGAUCCAGUCUGGGAUAGCCCUAGAAGCCACAUGAGAACAAUUUGGAGGCUGCUUUUGUAAGGAAGUAAUCCACAGUUUGAACUCUUACCAAGUAAUUUGGCAAGAUCUGCCUUAGUGGGAAAAAGGGGGAUCAUUGGACUAAAAGCAGGAUAUGAGGUAAUGCAGAAUAAUUGGAAAGCCUGGUUUCUUCUUUGUUUGGGAUAGGAUGAUGGUUAUGGAAAAGGGUUUGCCCCCAGCUCACUGAGUGUUUUGUUUCUUG